rnacentral:lncRNA from 1 species
GUCGCCGUUCCCAUCAUCUUCACACAAAUCCCGCCGGCGACAUCUUCCGUCUCCACUACCUUCAAACCCUUAACUCCACACCGCCGUCACCUCCAUUAAAACCACCGUCGUCCUCCUUACGAGUACAUCUUCAAAACCUCAGCCACCACACCACCCUCGUCAAAACCCAUUUACCAAACUCACCCUCGCGCCUCAACCAUCCCCUAAAUCUCUCGACGCAAAGCCACUCCAAGAAGUAUAUCUUACUGGGUUUUUCGCCCCUCUUGAUUUCUUGUGUACACGAAGGAUCCAUCGGCUCCCUUUCUUCCCUUUUUUUUCCUGAACUUUUCUUUUUUUCUGAAAAAAGUUGUUAAGAAAGAGGAAAGAAAGGAAAUCGAUUGGGAUAGGCUGUUUUCUGCUAUUGUGUUUUUGACUGUUUUUGCAGGAAAAAAGGAUAUCCACUGUUGGAGAUGAGAUCCAUGUGAUGGCCCCAAGAUUUACCCAAAUGCCUUCAUCCGACACUACGCUGUGAUAUCAGGAGUACGCCAGAUUUGCUAUUGGAGUAGGAUGAAGGCGGUUGAGUCAAACGCGAGGAAGCUUCAAAGGAUCGAAAGCAACAACACAACACAGCAACACAUAUCAUAUGAAUCGAGAAGAAAUGCAUGGCAAUCACAAAACAAACGACAGCUACUACUCAGUACCAAGUUCAGCAAGACACCAACAACGGUUUACCGACGGUAACAAUUCAAAAUUAAUUUUUCCUUUUAUUGUUUGUUGUUCAGAUUUUGCUUUAGGAACAAUUUGAUUAUAUUGUUUAUUUGUAGCAUUGUUGGUGUAUAUCUAUUAUGCUGCUGUAGUUCCGAUUAAUUCAUGAAAGUUGUAGCGAUUAUGUUAUAUUAAGUUGCUGCAAAUUUGCUGUCACAUAUAUGUCAAUUUGUUAUCAGAAAACUAUAGAUAUUCGUCUCAAUUUGAUUGCAUUGCGUAUCCACUAUUGCGUGAAAAUUUGUUUCGGUUUUGUACUCUUUUUAAAGUUGAAUUUGUUUCAGGCUGUGUGUUGUAAUAAUUUGGUACUACCGUAAAUAAUGGUACAAUUAGUAACUACCUACUGCAAGUUUUUCUUUCCCUUAACCAUGUAAUUUAGGUUGGUUUAUAUUGAAAGCUAAUAAUUAAAGCUUAUUUCUUAUUGGGGUACACAUUGGCUUUGCAAGCAGGUUCUGACUUUUCAAUGUUUACUUGAUGAUGAUUAUGAUAAGUUGUUUUAGUUAGGUUUCAUUUAAUUUUGUAUGUUGCUUGCUUGGUUUUUAAUAAAUUAUAUAUUUUGCAAGUAGUACUCAUCAUGUGUGUAAUUUUAUACUCCAUAAGCUAGUUAUUUAAAAUGGUGAAUUUGUUAGUAGUGGUAAGUGUUUACACCGAUGAUGGUUUGGUUUUCUGUUCCCAAGUUGGUGUUUUUGUAUCAUUAUGUAUAUGUUCUGCUGAAUUUUUUUACUACGUUUGCUUUGUGUGUUGCAACGAGUUUGUGAUUUUUGUAAUCAAAUUAAAGAUAAUUUUAAUUAUAUUAAGUAUUUGAUUUAAUCAAAUAGUUUUGAUAAUUAAGUUUGGUUAUAUUAAUU